rnacentral:snRNA from 1 species
GAUCAAGUGUAGUAUCUGUUCUUAUCAGUUUAAUAUCUGAUAUGUGGGCCAUCGGCCCACACGAUAUUAACUCUAUUUUUUAAGGGAGGAAGCCCAUUAAGGUAGCUUGCUACCUGGGUUUCCGCGAGUCGCCCAUGCGUUGCACUACUGCACGGGCUUGGCUCAA